AACCCAUCGACGGAAACAAGAAGAACUCAAACCCCAAAUUUGUUUUCUAAAAUUCUUUCUUAACUGAUCAUAUCGAACCAUAGGUGAAAUUAAUCACCCGAAAUUACUCAAUUUCCAUAUCUUUUCAUCCCACGAAAAAAAACACUAUGAUUCUGAAGCUGAUCCGAGCUUGGACAACAAUUACUCAAUUUCAUUAGCAGUGGACUGUGAUUCUGAAGCUGAUUUAUUGGCAGUCUAGCUGAAAUUAAUCACCUGAAAUUUGGAUUUCAUCAUUACUUGCAACGUUUUUCAUCUUCGUAGAACAGAGCAUGUCGGAGAUUUGCUGCGUACAUGAGCUAUUAUAAGGGCAUGGGGUAUUCGUUAUUCCAUGAAUUGAACUGGAGACCUCAAAUGCCCUGUGGUUUCUAAUGUGGCGAAAAGGUGUUCCAACAAGUACUGUUAUACAAAGAAUUAUUUUUUGGCAGCAUAAAACAAUUCAAAUGAUGUAUGAGAUUAUUUACAAAGCUUUGGAGGAUGUUGAUCCUGAUGGUGUUCGGCAUCCGACAAACAGGCAAAGAGAAGUUUAAUGACUGAAAUUUAAAGCGAACGAGUCCUUGAAAGAGAUUUUAUCAUUUAUCAUAUUGUUUCAGAACGGAAUGGCAAGCACAUCGCACGUAGCAGCCGUGACAGGAGGUGGAGACGAAAAGUGAGUAUCAUUAGAUUUGCAUGCACAUGAGUUUGGUGUUUAUAACAAUGGUUUGUCAGAAAAGCUGCAAAUAUGACAAGAUUCUGCCCCAACCAAUAAUUCAAUUUUGAGUCAGAAUUUUGGAAAGAUUUGGGGGGACUUCAACUUCACUCUGCUGAGUAGAAAUAAAAGAAGUAGCAGCCAUGACAACGAGAUGAAACCACCACCAGUAGUAAGUAAGAAAUAUGCGAUUAGAUUCCUUCGUUGAAGCAAAUGCAGUAGCCAUGAAUAAGGAAUUGAGGAUGAUGAGUGAUGAAUCACAGAAAUUUAUUUAUCUUUUUCUAUUUUUCCCCUCUUUUCUCUUUGCCAGACUUUUUUCUUAUUUUUACGAAUACACAUUCUUGCGGUAAAAGGAUAUUUAUGAUAGAAAAAUUAUUAAAUGGGUCUUUUUAGGAAAGAGAUUCGUUACCAA